CCUACGGGCGGCAGCAGUGAGGAAUAUUGGUCAAUGGACGAGAGUCUGAACCAGCCAAGUCGCGUGAAGGAUGACUGCCCUAUGGGUUGUAAACUUCUUUUAUAUGGGAAUAAAAUGUUCCACGUGUGGGAUUUUGUAUGUACCAUAUGAAUAAGGUUCGGCUAACUCCGUUCCAGCAGCCGCGGUAAUACGGAGGAUCCGAGCGUUAUCCGGAUUUAUUGGGGUUAAAGGUAGCGUAGGUGGAUUGUUAAGUCAGUUGUGAAAGUUGGCGGCUCAACCGUAAAAUUGCAGUUGAAACUGGGAGUCUAGAGUACAGGAGAGGUGGGCGGAAUUCGUGGUGUAGCAGUGAAAUGCGUAGAUAUCACGAAGAACUCCGAUUGCGAAGGCAGCUCACUGGACUGCAACUGACACUGAGGCACGAAAGUGUGGGUAUCAAACAGGAUUAGAUACCCCAGUAGUC
rnacentral:rRNA from 1 species